rnacentral:lncRNA from 1 species
UGCCAGAAGUGACUCAUACACAGGCCACCAGUGGCACUCAGCUGUACCACUGCACUGCUGCUGAAAUUGCCAGCACCAGCGGCUUUGUAACAGCUGUUUCACAGCAUCUCGGAGACAAUGCCUACGAAAUUAUUGGCCCUGAUGACGAGAGCCCUCAAGGGGCAAACGACAUCUCUGUUGCAGAAGUGAGCCCGAUACCACCUUAAUUUAGCAUGACAGAUGACACGGCUGCAAUAGAUACAGAGACUGCCGUGUCUACUGCAGCUGCAACAGUGUACGAGGCAAGCUGCAGCACGUCAGCA